UGGGGAAUAUUGGACAAUGGGCGAAAGCCUGAUCCAGCCAUGCCGCGUGUGUGAAGAAGGUCUUCGGAUUGUAAAGCACUUUAAGUUGGGAGGAAGGGCAGUAAGCGAAUACCUUGCUGUUUUGACGUUACCGACAGAAUAAGCACCGGCUAACUCUGUGCCAGCAGCCGCGGUAAUACAGAGGGUGCAAGCGUUAAUCGGAAUUACUGGGCGUAAAGCGCGCGUAGGUGGUUCGUUAAGUUGAAUGUGAAAGCCCCGGGCUCAACCUGGGAACUGAAGCCAAAACUGGCGAGCUAGAGGAGGGCAGAGGGUGGUGGAAUUUCCUGUGUAGCGGUGAAAUGCGUAGAUAUAGGAAGGAACACCAGUGGCGAAGGCGACCACCUGGGCUCAUACUGACACUGAGGUGCGAAAGCGUGGGGAGCAAACAGG
rnacentral:rRNA from 1 species